rnacentral:rRNA from 1 species
UACGUAGGGUGCAAGCGUUGUCCGGAAUUAUUGGGCGUAAAGGGCUCGUAGGCGGUCCAUCGCGUCGGGAGUGAAAAGCUGGGGCUUAACCCCAGUCCUGCUUCCGAUACGGGCAGACUAGAGGUAGGUAGGGGAGAAUGGAAUUCCCGGUGUAGCGGUGAAAUGCGCAGAUAUCGGGAGGAACACCGGUGGCGAAGGCGGUUCUCUGGGCCUUACCUGACGCUGAGGAGCGAAAGCGUGGGGAGCGAACAGG